UUUCUACGGCGUAAAGAGCUGCAGGAAGAGCGACAGCCCGAAGCUAAACCUCGUUUUGACCAAAAAAAAAGCUAAACCUCGGGAAGUGAUGGCGGCGUCUUUGUUCCGGCGAGUUUCGUCCCACCUGGCGCUUCUUCCUCGUCCUUUCCUUCCCUCCGUCUCUCUCGAGAAUCCCUUCUCCCAGGGCUCAUGGCCGUCCCCAAAAAAAAGGUUUCCCGCCAUAAGAAGGGAUUAAGGAAUGGACCGAAGGCUCUGAAACCUGUUCCGGUUAUUGUCCAAUGCAAGAGUUGCGGUCGAGUUAAGCUGCCUCACUUCUACUGCUGCAGUGGGGAGAGAGGGAGCAGUGGUCCCUCCAGUUGAUAAAACAAUUCUUCGUAAUGAUAAAAAUCAGCAUGCUCGAUGAAAUCUGAGAAUCUUGACAUUAUCAAAACUAAUAUUGGAAAUUUAUUUUCUUGUAGCAGAUAGGAUAUGGAUGGAAGGCCUGGCAUGUUACCAAUAGUCCUCUUAAGCACAACUCUGCUUCAGGUUCAGAGUUGCUUCCAUUAGUCAUAUGGAUGUUCAUGUGCAAAUUUCUGAUUUUCCAUUUGAAGGGAAGAUGCUCAGUGUCUCUGGCAUGUUUAUUAUUAGUGAUCAUGUUUUGUGUUUCAAUUUCAUUUCCUGGUGUACUUGGUAUAGGAAUGGAUGGCCAUUUAUCUUUGUUGUCCUCAACUUUGCUUUUCUUUUGAUAUUGAUAUCCUGGAUUGUUAUCACUUCCUGUUCUUUUUUCCAUGGCUAGGCAACUUCUAGUUAGAUGUCUUGUGAAAGAAAGGAUGUAGUUCCAUUCAUUCAACACAUGGGUAACUGUAUGAUCUCAUGGAGCAAAGAUGACCUCCGUGCUAUGUGUUGCAUGGUGAAGUGCUCUUCCAAUUCUGGCAGCAAAGACAACUGUUACCACUGUGUACUAAUAAUCGGAUUAAGUUGUGUUUGCAAUCAAGUGAAAGCUGAAUAAAGAUUGAUUGAGAGGUAGCACACAAAAAGUAGAUGUAUUGUUUAAGAGGUUUCUGGAGAGAUUUUGGAUGCCAGUCUUCCAAGUAGCUUGGGAAAGAAAAAAUCAAUAGAGCUAAACCUGCUGGAUCGGAUCCCUUUUCAAAUGAUGUCAGCUACUAGAUUUCAGAUUCAGGCCUAAACGCCUGAUUUCUACGCUGUAUAAACUUAUUGCUAAGAUUAUUGUCAGCAUAUUGAAACCUUAACUGCCUAUUACUAUUGCCCCAGAGCAAACAGAUUUUGUUGCAUCACGAUCUAUUUUUGAUCAUAUUUUACUGGCACAGGAAGUUCUUCGCACUCCGGAAACUC